GCCAAAUGGAACUCUUUAUGAGCAUCUUCAAGGUAAGAGAUAUCGUGCGUCUGCUUGUAUGAUGACAUUGGACUGAAAAACUAUUUGCUUUGAUCAUGCGUCUCUGGGUUUCAGAUGGGGAAGGAUGUCAGCUAUCUUGGCCCUGUCGUUUGGAGAUCGUGCACAUUCUAAGUCACUUGCAAACUGACCUGCGGCUUCCAUUCGCCGUCGCCACUGAAUCAUGCUUUCAUGUACACUCCUGGAAACCUGUAUUCCAGAAUCCGGUACACUUCAGAAGGUGCUGCUUGUGAAUUGGCCCUUCGUGCUUUGCAAAUGGAGGCAUGAACAUGGCAUGCAAGGAUUCUCUGGAUUGGCUUGUCCCUUACAUAGGUCAGUGAGGUUAGUUACUCUUUUAGAUUGGAAACGAUCCAGUGGCUGCUCAGCAAAAAGUUUCAGAUAAAAAGGGUACAUAGUGUAAUUGGAAGCUUUAACUUCAAUCUUUGUACCACACAUACUACUAAUACUUACUUGAACAGUGUGCCUUUUGAGGUAUUGUACCACACAUACUACA